rnacentral:rRNA from 1 species
UGGGGAAUAUUGGACAAUGGGCGAAAGCCUGAUCCAGCCAUGCCGCGUGUGUGAAGAAGGCCUUUUGGUUGUAAAGCACUUUAAGCGAGGAGGAGGCUACUUAGAUUAAUACUCUAGGAUAGUGGACGUUACUCGCAGAAUAAGCACCGGCUAACUCUGUGCCAGCAGCCGCGGUAAUACAGAGGGUGCGAGCGUUAAUCGGAUUUACUGGGCGUAAAGCGUGCGUAGGCGGCUUUUUAAGUCGGAUGUGAAAUCCCUGAGCUUAACUUAGGAAUUGCAUUCGAUACUGGGAAGCUAGAGUAUGGGAGAGGAUGGUAGAAUUCCAGGUGUAGCGGUGAAAUGCGUAGAGAUCUGGAGGAAUACCGAUGGCGAAGGCAGCCAUCUGGCCUAAUACUGACGCUGAGGUACGAAAGCAUGGGGAGCAAACAG